rnacentral:misc_RNA from 1 species
UAGUUGAGUUGAGUUGAGUUGUAGCAGAUUUAAAAAGUAUAUUAUUUUGGUUGUGCCAUUCUUCCCUUCACUGUAUGACAAGGUCAGUGGUUUUAAGGCUCUUAUUUCUCCAUUCUCCAAUGCAUCGCACUUUCUUUAAAUGUUUAUGCAACAAUCCCUUCAUUAAAGUAUUCAUCUUAUUUAAUAUAAUGAAAUUGUGAUGACCAAAAAGCAGUCUGGAAAAGAGUAGAGGGAGGUGGCAUGUGAUAGACCAACCUGCCCCCCAAUCCUCAUAAAACAGGAAGCCUUGUGCAUCUAGGACACCUUUUUACAUUUAAUCUGAUAUAAGAUCAAUGGUAUAACAAAGAAGAAGACAAAGAACCACCUUGCCCCCAAUCCUCAAAAACCAGGGAGCCUAACGCAUCUAGGACGCCUAGAAGAAGAACAACAAUUUUAAGGCAG